UGCUUAUUGGCCGAGUUGAGGAGCCAAAUGUACGAGCUCUGCAGUAUCUUUUGGACACCUUAACUGUCCACCUUGCUGCUUCACUAAAUUUCUUUGUUGUUCCAUGGAAGCAAAUCCAAAAAAGGACACUACAAAGAAGAAAGACAUAAACGCAGACUUUUGGAUCAACAUUAGAAGGUAAUUGCUAGCAGCUGCACAGCCAGGGAACGGAGCCUAAAAGAGCCUUGCAUCGAUUCCCCUCUUACCCCCCCUCGUUUUCCUCGCCAUCGCAGCCUCCCUGAUGCCUCAGAUCCCGCAGACCACUCAGAUGUACCUGAUGCUGCAAGAAGCCGGAGCCACUGCUGACAAGUACCCAGGAAACACCCAUUCUGUUGACUCCACAGUCAGGUCUGCACUCAUCAAUCAACACUCAGCAGAGGAAGAGCAGAGACGCAGAGUCCAGAGAUGAAGGGAAAAGAUACUUUUUUGGCUCUCUGUGGUUAAUCUUUCCAAACCAGACGACAUAAGAUUCUCAAAGAAUUCACUCCAACUUGUGCUGUAUCAUGGAGACUUAUCUUUCUUUAUAUAUCUGGUAACACUUGACUUCAGAGUGGCCUUGUUUCAGAUGUAAGUGAGGGUGUAACUACGCAAUUUAACCUUGUAAGUGCAGUUAUCUCAACUUAUUAUGUGUUGUUAUACCUUUUUGUGAAUAUAUUUUGUAUUAAAGAGAUAUAUUUGAUACUUGCUAAUAAUAAUGCUAGUAAAAUGGAAUAAGGCAGCUGCAAACGGUCGCCAUGUUUUUAUUUGUCUAUUAAUGACAGCAGCCAUCAUUAGCAUUUUUGCAAUAAAUUAAUAAUAUAGAUCCAAUUUAGACAAGAGUCGGACCAUGAGUUUGAUCCAAUGUAGAAAUGCAUUUGGGAUGAGAAAUAUAUUUUAUUACAAGUAAUAUGAACACAGUAAUUACAUUUUCAUUGACUUAUUUUGGUAAUUUAAUCUAAAAUAAAUAUUUAAAAAUCUAUUAAUUUAAGGAAUAUUAUUUGUGCUCUGGUAGCAAUUACAAUGUGAAAGUUACCCUCCCCAGAAAGUACAUGGUGCAUGUUUUGCGGCCAGACUCAUUAAGCAUUUAAAUGUGUCUAAAAAUUACUCAAAACUCCAUACAAAUUAAUACCAUUAUUUUCACUCAAAUUGCACAGAACAGUAUCAAAGUCAAGAUCACAAUUGCAAACAUGCAAAUAACAACAAACAUGAAACAUGUCACACCUACUGAACAAUUAUUUCAAUAUUAUGACAAAGCAAUAGAUCAAAACAAGAACACAUGCUGUUUAUUGUAAGGCAUAUAAGAUGCUGUUCAAUCAUCCUUUAUGGUUCCCUUCUCAUCCAGAGGAAAAAAUGUUUAUAAUUUCACCCAGGUCAGGGUCAACAAUCCACAUGUUAGCGAGGUCAUGAACUUGACCCCAAAGCGGUGACCCCGCCGUUCCAGAGGAAUACCU